AUGAACUUAGCUUGCUAAGUUUGAUGGCGACCGGCGCACGGGUGAGUAACACUCCUCAAACCUGCCGAUGACUCGGGGAUAGCCUUUCAAAAGAAAGAUUAAUACCCGAUGGCAUAUUUCUUCCGCAUGGGGGAACUAUUAAAGAAUUUCGGUCAUCGAUGGGGAUGCGUUCCAUUAGGUUGUUGGCGGGGUAACGGCCCACCAAGCCUUCGAUGGAUAGGGGUUCUGAGAGGAAGGUCCCCCACAUUGAAACUGAGACACGGUCCAAACUCCUACGGGAGGCAUUAUUGAGGAAUAUUGGUCAAUGGACAAGAGUCUGAACCAGCCAAGUACCGUGAAGGAUGACUGCCCUAUGGGUUGUAAACUUCUUUUAGUUGGGAAUAAAGUGCACCACGAGUGGUGUUUUGUAUGUACCAU
rnacentral:rRNA from 1 species